CGCCAGGUUGCACAGGCAUUUUCAGGCUAAAAUGUUCAAACUACUAUUUCGAUUACAGCACAAAAAUAUCAAAAUCGAACUUGUCUCUUUAUUAGUACUACAGAACGCGGUUUUGCGUUCUAUGUGCAGGUACCAGUAAAAUUGAGUAACAUGAAUAUAAAACAGGCGCAACUCUGUGGUCUUGCUACAUGAAUAGUUUAAAUAAACUAAUAAAGAGGGCAAGUUAUGUUAAUUUCCCUCGCGGUAAGAAGCGCAUUCAUGAGGUCUAUAGACAUUCACUCUGCUUUCACUUUUUAUCGAUAUACAUACAUGCAUACAUACAGACUUUAUUUAAACACGCUAGCCUGAACGACAGGCGCGUGUACAUGAAUGCAAAUUUACAAUGCAAAAAACAAUUUAGGAACAUUACAAGGGUUCUCUACAUGACACAACAAGAAGACAAAUGAAUCUACUCUCUACAUGACACAACAAGAAGACAAAUGAUAGAAAUAAACGAGCCGGCUUCAUUGUUUGUUUCAGAAUCGUUUUAAAGGCCCUGUCACACUGUUGCGUAUGAGAGAAACGUAUGAGAAGCGUAUGAAAAUUAAUGAAAUAAUUUUCAUACGCACAAAAAUCCUUUGAAAUGCCAGCGUAUGAGUACCGUACAUCUGGCGUACCUCUAGCGUAUUCAGCGUGUGCCUAGAGUAUGCUUAUCGUAUAAAGCAUACGUCCGAUACGCACAAAAUUUUUGAACAUGCUUAAAAAAAAUUUUCUGCCUCGCCGUAUGCCACCGUGCUUGAAACAUAUACAACCUAUGCCUAACGUACCCCUAGCGUAUGUCAGCGUAUACCGGCGUAUGAGUGAUAUUUUUCAUACGCUGGCACACGCUAGUACGAUACGCAGUAGUGUGACAGGACCUUAAAGGAGCUCAUGGAUGCAAUGGUUUUUGCCUCAUAAGGAAGAUUGUUCCAACGUACAGAACCAUUGUAGCCGAAGCACCUUUCGCCAAACUUUUUCUUCGGCUUAGGAAGUGCUAAAUCUGUUUCUCUAUUCUCAGGUCACAGACAGCAUAUGUUCAAUACAACAUUUGGCCAUCGUCCAUUUUCCGAGCAGAACCGGCUAAUACGAUCGUCUGCUGACUGCUUUACUUGGCUUUGCAGGGGCAUUAUAGCCGACCAUUUUGGAGCACUAAUUUGAAUGAUUUCUCCCUAAAUCAAUGUGGAGCAACUAGUGAAGUAUCGAUUACCGACUUUCAAACUUCCUGUAGCCAAAAUUGUUAGUGUCCGGUUAUGUCCGAUCAAAACGUGGGAUGGUCAGGCAUAUUAUCCGACCAUGUUUUCAAUAUUGUAUUAAACUCUGGUUUUCAAGAUUAUAUUGAAUUCUGAUUGGUUUCUAUAUGAUUUAUUAUAGUUGAUAAUAAUACGAUAUUAAAAGCUUAAAAUAUAACAAAGUUUUUUACGACACAACUUUGUAAGACUAACGCCCGUAUUCUAAAAGCUCACUCACAUUCACACUCAAUGAGUGGAGGUUCAAUCUGAGUUUCUCUUGAGUGUCAAUGCUGUUUUUGAAUAGAUGGAGGGUGAGUAGUCACCGAGUAAGGUAUGAUACUAGCCCUCCAGCUAUUCAAAAACAGCAUUAACACUCAAGAGAAGCUCAGAUUGAACCUCCACUCAUCGAGUGU
rnacentral:lncRNA from 1 species